GUUUAGAGGAAACAAUACGGUUAAAGUUUUAGGUUUGAAAUUUAGAGUUUGUGGCGAAAUUGUCAGGGUUUAGGAAAAAUCAGGGUAGUUAGUUAUGAAAAAAAAUGUGCAGAUCUAAAUAUAUAUAUAAAAAAUGAAUUAAAAAAAAACAACGGCGUUGCUAGCGCAAAAUUGCGAUCAUCGCAACUGGAUCGGAUAACACAAAUGUCACGCCUCAUACACGUAUAUGUGAAAAUGGCGUAUUGACACGAUAGAUAAAGUAUAUAUCAUAUAUAAACUAUUACCAAACUAUGUGUACGAUAGUAUAGAUCAGCCACUCUCAGUUUCUCUUUUUUGUUAUGUCUUUCCGCCUCCUUCUAUCAGUCAUGCUAGUAAAUAUAUAUAGGAACAAAUUAGGUUAAUGAUAAUGGGCCUAAGUUUAUUUUGAAACCCAAUAUUAAAUUAAAAACUGAAUAAAGUUAAAUAAUUAAAAUAGUUAAAAUUAAAAUAAAAACUAAUUAACCUAUUUAUUUAUUCUAGACCCAAUAUAAAAAUAAAUAGACUCAAAAAAAAAAAAAGUCGGGCACCAAAAUGCUCGAAAAAAUAAAAUGAAC
rnacentral:lncRNA from 1 species